rnacentral:tRNA from 1 species
GCUUCUGAAGCUGAUACAACCCAGCGUUGGUCUUGUAAACCAAAGGUAGGGAUUUACCCCAGACGCU